GACGAACCGUGCGAACGUUAUUCGGAAUCACUGGGCUUAAAGCGCGUGUAGGCGGGUCGGCACGUCGGUCGCUGAAAGCCCCCGGCUCAACCGGGGAACGGGCGCCGAUACGACCGCCCUCGAGGGACGUAGGGGGACCUGGAACUUCCGGUGGAGCGGUGAAAUGCGUUGAGAUCGGAAGGAACGCCCGUGGCGAAAGCGAGGUCCUGGACGUCUGCUGACGCUGAGACGCGAAAGCCAGGGGAGCGAACGGG
rnacentral:rRNA from 1 species